UGUGGAAAAAUGAUGAUUUUUACAAAAAUUUUCAAUACCUGCAAAAAUUCCUCUGAAUAGUAAUUUUUCCUUUGUAAUAAAAAAUGUUUUGUUAACGUUUGAGCUGGUGUUGUGAAGCCUGCAUCAUCAACUGUUAGCUGUUUGCCACUUGAGAAGCCACAUUUUUCAUCCAAUCUUGAUGACACUUUUUCAGAUGAUUUAUCUAAAAAAAUCUAGAUUAAGUUUGCCUAGGGUUAACAUGUGUAUAAAAACUAGGUAAUCAGGUCAAGUAAAAGGGCAACCUUGUUACCACUCUAGAUGCCACAAUUAUGACUCAAUCUUGUUGAAACUAAUUCAGAAUUUUAAUCAAGCAAUAUCAAGACUAAAUUUUAAACCAUGUCAUGUUUGUCCAAAACCUAGAUCACCAGGUUAAAUAUAAGAAUAAUCUUGUUACCAAUUAAGAGGCCACAUUGACACAUAUGGCUCAAUCUUUAUGAAACUCUGUCAGAAUAUUUAGCCGGACAAUAUCUAUUCCCAAUUUCAAUCUGAUUCACAUGAGUCAAAAACUAGGUCACCAGUUUCAACCUUGUUACCACACUAGAGGCCACAUUUAUAACUAAAUCAUUGUAAAUUGUUUAUAACUAACUCUUUGUAAAUUGUCAGAAAGAUUAUUUUUACAUUAUCUGGGGUGAGUGCAAAUUUGGGUCAUGUACAUCCAAAAAGUAAGUCAUCUGGUCAACCUUAGAAAAACGUUGACACCACUGUAGAGGCUUCAUUUAUAAUUCAAACUUAAUGAACUUUUUUUAACAAUAUUUACCUCGACUGGGUUGAAAAAAAGAUCUUAUGAAAAUAUGAAGCAAGAUAAUUUAUGUCACAUCAUAAAACAGAAAGUUUAAAAUGCUUCUAUGAAUAAUUAUGUUUUUUUUUACCAGAACUUGAUAAUAACUUUGUAAUUUUAUACCAUUACUUAGGAAUAUUUUUGUUCAAAGAUUAAUUUGAUGUCAGGUUUGAAGACCUUGUGUUGCUAAAUCACAAUUAGCACAUGAAUGAUUGUUGAAGCCUGGACUAUAUUGCAGCGCCCCUUGACAUUAGUGAUAUAUUUUCACAUAGUGUCUGUCACAUGGCGCAUUCCACACUUCCACAUGAUGGUUAUCAAACCUUGAUUGAAAUUCUUCUUUUUGUUAUCACCGUGUAUUUUCUUAUUAGCUGUAAACUGUUGUUUUUUAUGCCCCCGGAUUGAAAGAUCGGGGGUAUAUUGUUUUUGGCCCAUCUGUCUGUCAUUCAUUCAUUGUGUGUGUCCCAAAACUUUAACCUAGGUUAAAGUUUGAUAACUUUUGCAAUAUUGAAGAUAGCAACUUCAUAUUUGGCAUGCAUGUGUAUCUCACUGAACUGCACAUUUUGAGAUGUGCAAAGUCAAUUUCAUCCUUCAAGGUCAAAGGCCAAAUAUGAUUGUAUUUUUCUUUCCUAAAACUUUAACCUUCGUUUAAGUUUGGUCAUAACUUUUUUAAUUUUGAAGAUAGCAACUUGAUAUUUGGCAUGCAUAUGUAUCUCAUGGAGCUGCACGCUUUAAGUGGUGAAAGGUCAAGGUCAUCCUUCAAGGUCAAAGGUCAAAUUUAUGGCUUUAAAGCGGCGCAAUAGCGGGCAUUGUGUUUCUAACAAACACAUCUCUUGUUUACAAUUAUUUUUCCUUCCUUGAUUAUCUAGGUAGAUCCCUAAAUUGUUUAAAUAUUUUAGAAUCUUCAAAAAUAAGAUUUUAAUAAUAAAUUGAGGUAAACAAUACUUGGUGUUUCUAAUUCAUAAAAUGUCUUGAGCAAUCAUGCUUGUAAAUUUGCUUUGGUUUUAAAUGAGUUUUGUUGCUUAUGCUAUAGCAUUUAUCUUUGUUGAGUCUAUAAAUAAAUGUUUUGUAUUAAUUAAACAAAUGCACGUGAUUAUAUGUAAUGAAAUAGUUGCACAUGAUAGUAAACCUAUUAUAUGUAUGCCUGUUUUGCUUUACCAGUAAGGCUGGAAGUGCUUGUGAAGGUCUUCAUGUUUUAAAGCUCAUUAAACUGGAAAUGACGUAUACCUUAAAUAUUACAUGUAUGAAUCUUUUUAAUUUGUAAUGAUGCCUAUUUCAGUUUCAGUACCUGAUAAGAUUUAAAAAUCUAUAUAUUAAAAUAUAUCCCAAAGACUAUAAAUCGAAAGGACUGUAAAGAUAUCAUGGAUGUGUGAAAGACAUAAACGAUUACUAUGGAUCCUCAUUUAUGCACAAGCCUUUUCGAAGGAUUUUGCCAAGGAGCAGGGGCAAAGGACAAUUGGACAGUCAACUAGGCAGUCAGUUUUCCCUGCAAUGUUGUAGUUGUCAUAUUCAGGCAUUAAAAUUGAGCACUUGAGUACUAAUAGUAAAUAGCAAAUAUAAACAUAUAACAUAUUACUCGAACACCCAUUAUAACAAGUAGUAAGCAUAAAACACAGCGCCUGGUGAAUGUUUGCUGUUCAUUGAUUCCUUUCCCCGAAAUUGCAAAUACUCUUUCUGUCCCUGAAACUGCAAAUACUCUUAAAAAUUGUUGCGGUGUCUGAUGGUUUGUUUUUAGUAAAAUUCAAUGAAAAUCAUGAAUAUUUAAAAAUGUCUCUUUCAUUUUUAAAUAUUAGUAUUUUUCCUGAUACAUGUACUUUUUUUGCUAUCAAUUCUAAAUGAAGAAGACUUGGAGGGACUUGAUCACAGAUUCUUGAGAUGACAGUUGUAACUUUUUUUCAAAAAUAUAAGAACACUACAAAUCAGGAAGUGAAAUACUAGAAUGACAUCAACAUACAGCUUUGUUUAUGCAUUAUCCUCAUUGAAAGUGAUAAAAUUAUAAAGCAUUAAAAACAAAAUACAAUUUAAUAAUUUGGAAUUACUGUGUUGUUUUUGUUUCUACGUGUUGAUCCUUUAUAUAGAAUUUAAAAUGUCUGCUAGUACCGGUAUAUAACACUGGAUGGCCAAUUAGUUGAAACAAUUUUUGGCUUUCUUAAAAAAAUGCACAGCUCUGUUAACAAGUCCCUUUAAAUAUUGUAUCAACAGGGUAUUUUCUUAAAUAUUGCUGUGGUUACAAAUACUUUCUUCUAGUCGUUAAUUAGUUUGAAAAUGACAAAGUUUUUACUGUGCAUAAUAUAUUUUUUAGUAAUUGAUUCUUCCAGAUCAAACAUUGGAUACCAAAUUCCUCCUUUACAAGGAUAAUUAAUAAAUGGUAUUGAUGAAUGUGCUUCAAUCAGAAAAUGAUCCUGUAUUGAAUCUAUUGAAAAGUAAAAUGAAUGUUAGUUAAACAGGCAAAAACUAGGUUGUUUGUUUCCAGUAACAAUGCAAUCAUGCACUUCAUAAAAUUAAUGUAAACAUGUUUGUUGCAAAGACCCAUGCACUUUAUAAAUGUAAACAUGUUUGUUGCAAUGACACAUUAACAUGCAGUCAUAUUAAGUCUUCUUUUAUAAGAUGAAUGAAUCUGUUACUUAACAAUGCAAUAAACAGGUAUUAUAGAUGUGUUUGAGCUUUACAUUUCAAAUACUGCAAUCUUUCUAAAAGAAAACCUGCUCACUUGUUUUGUCUUAAUUAGAAGUAAAUAUCUGUAACUGAUCAGACGCAGUCAUGAACAAUCUUUCUAUAUUUUCAGGUGUGUAAACACUGUAUGUGUAAUGUACUUUGUUUUAUGUAAAUUUGAAUGUCUGUGGUUUGGAACCCGCAGGGAUCAUGUUAACAUUAUCUUUGUAAAUCCAUGUGUUUAAUUUGCAAGUAUGACAUAAAAUGUCUUUCUGUAUGUCUGUCUACCUGUGUGUGUUUCAUGUGUGUGUGGCUGUCUGUAUGUCUGUUGGUCAUGAAAGAACUUUAGAGUCAUGGUUUAAUUAUAAGCUCGGUGUUUUCUGAAAAAAUCUGAGGUAUUGUCAUAGCCAGCUCGUCAUCUGACGUCCGCCGUCCACAUCAUGCUAAAACCUUUACAUUCGCUCUGAAAUCAAAGUGCUUCCACCUACAACUUUGAAACUUCAUACGUAGAUGCACCUUGAUGAGUUCUACACACCACACCCAUUUUGGGGUCACUAGGUCAAAGGUAAAGGUCACUGUGACCUCUAAAUUUUUUUACAAAGUCUGUCUAGUUUUCAUUUAUUCAAAACUGCACCCGUAGCCGAGCGUGGCACCCGUUAUGCGGUGCUCUGGUUCAUAUUUUAUUACAAAAUAAAUGCAUGCAUAAAUCAGAUUUGAAUUCUUCUGAUUAUAAUACAUGUUUCAUAUCUGUGCAUUCUACAAAAGUUAUAACGCAACAAAUGGAAACUAUAUUUCCUUAUUUAUAAUAUGCAAAAUGGAAAAUAUAUUUUAUUUAUAAACACGUUUUUCAGCUUUAAAUAUCUGCUAUAAUUUUUAAUUGAUUUGCAAAUGGAUAUGUUCAUAUGAACAAUAAUGAAACAUCUAUGGAAUAAUAAUGUACUUACUGAUAUCACAGAAGGAAUAUACAGUUUAAAAUUAUUGACUAUAACUUUUGCAUAGUGCAAUAUAUUCAAUAAUAUUGUGUAUAUCUUUUUUGAUAGUGUGUGUGUAAAUUUAUCUUUCAUUAUAAAGCUAUUCAUAUUGAGAUUUGAUUGCUUUUUAUAUUGCAACACGUUGAAUGUAACGUUUUAAACGUGUGCAUGUUCCGUUUGAGAUUUUAUGCAAUCUUUCAGAAACCAUUUAAAAAUUUUGAAGCAUUUAUGGUUUUGUUAUUAAAUAUAUGGUUUAAUGAAGGUUUUAUGUUUUGAUUUCAACAUAUUGUUAACAAAUUCAUCCCACAAUACACCAUCCUUUGAUUUUUUUUAAAAAUCUUUGAAUAAUGAAAGUUCAAACUUCAUUUGCAUAAUACAAGUUAUGAGUUAUCUAGAUUUUGAUAGUAAAUUAUUUAACUGUCAAGUUCACGUAUUAUCUCUCCCAACUAUUCUUCAAUCUAAACGUUUGAACGAACAUUGAACUGUAUAAUCUAUAACACUGUUACCCUAGUAUUUAUUUGCAACGGUACAAAUCUUAUCUAGAUUAUAAAACAAUAUACUUUGGUCCAAAAUGGCAAGCUUUGUUCUGGUACAUUUGGGUAGAUAGACAAAAAGGCAUUAACCUUAAAUUGCGUAUUUACAAAUUCAAAAUGAAUUUUGGUUAAAAAAAGGUUAGAUCAUUUGCUAUGGUUUGGUUCCGUUAGCAAAUACAUGUAAUUAUUAAAUGUGUAUCACUUCCAUUCUCCACCAUGGGCUGUCAACACAUUUUUAUGCUCCCCCAAAAAAUUUGGGGGGGGGGCAUAUUGUCGCCGCUUAGUCUGUCUGUCCGUCCGUCCGUGUGUCUGUCCGUGCACAAUUUUUGUCUGGGCUAUUUCUCAGCAACUAAUGACCAGAAUUCAAUGAAACUUUAUGGGAAACUUCACUACCAAGAGGAGAUGUGCAUAUUAUCAGCGGGUUCUGGUCGGAUGAUUUUUCACAGAGUUAUGGCCCUUUGAAAUUUUCCAUUAACUGUACAUAUAGUGCAAUUCUUGUCCGGGCUAUUUCUCAGCAACUAAUGACUGGAAUUCAAUGAAACUUUAUGGGAAGCUUCACUACCACACUACCAAGAGGAGAUGUGCAUAUUAUCAGCGGGUUCUGGUCGGAUGAUUUUUCACAGAGUUAUGGCCCUUUGAAAUUUUCCAUUAACUGUACAUAUUGUGCAAUUCUUGUCUGGGCUAUUUCUCAGCAACAAAUGACCGGAAUUCAAUGAAACUUUAUGGGAAGCCUCACUACCAAGAGGAGAUGUGCAUAUUAUCAGCGGGUUCUGAUCGGAUGAUUUUUCACAGAGUUAUUGCCCUUUGAAAUUUUCCAAUAACUGUACAUAUAGUGCAAUUCUUGUCUGGGCUAUUUCUCAGCAACUAAUAACCGGAAUUCAAUGAAACUUUAUGGGAAGCUUCACUACCAACAGGAGAUCUGCAUAUCAUCAGCGGGUUCUGGUCGGAUGAUUUUUCACAGAGUUAUGUCUCUUUGAAAUUUUAUAUAAAAAUAUUCUCGUCCCCCCAACAACUGUGCCCUCAAGACGUUUCCUUUUAUCUGAAUGUAUAGUGCACUAUUGUGACAAAAAAAAACCUUUGGGGAGCAUCCCCCGUCUCCGACGGUUUCCUGUUUCCAUGUUGAGGCGACGAUUAAAUCAAUAAACUUGAGUUCUUGAAAAUCUU